rfam:Triticum aestivum genome assembly, contig: Triticum_aestivum_CS42_TGACv1_scaffold_393087_5AS
UCCAGUGAUGGCACAUGUUUGAGACCUGAGUUUACUUUGUUGAUGAACAUCAUAAGCAUAAUCCCUAUGCUC